GUAAAGCGCACGUAGGCGGCACUGCAAGUCUGAUGUGAAAGCCCUGGGCUCAACCUGGGAAUUGCAUUGGAUACUGGCGGGCUAGAGUGCGGUAGAGGAUGGCGGAAUUCCCGGUGUAGCAGUGAAAUGCGUAGAGAUCGGGAGGAACAUCCGUGGCGAAGGCGGCCAUCUGGACCAGCACUGACACUGAGGCACGAAAGCGUGGGGAGCA
rnacentral:rRNA from 1 species